CACUCCUACGGGAGGCAGCAGUGGGGAAUAUUGGACAAUGGGCGCAAGCCUGAUCCAGCCAUGCCGCGUGAGUGAUGAAGGCCCUAGGGUUGUAAAGCUCUUUCACCGGAGAAGAUAAUGACGGUAUCCGGAGAAGAAGCCCCGGCUAACUUCGUGCCAGCAGCCGCGGUAAUACGAAGGGGGCUAGCGUUGUUCGGAAUUACUGGGCGUAAAGCGCACGUAAGCGGAUCGAUCAGUCAGGGGUGAAAUCCCAGGGCUCAACCCUGGAACUGCCUUUGAUACUGUCGAUCUGGAGUAUGGAAGAGGUGAGUGGAAUUCCGAGUGUAGAGGUGAAAUUCGUAGAUAUUCGGAGGAACACCAGUGGCGAAGGCGGCUCACUGGUCCAUUACUGACGCUGAGGUGCGAAAGCGUGGGGAGCAAACAGGAUUAGAUACCCGAGUAGUCCC
rnacentral:rRNA from 1 species